UACGUAGGGUGCGAGCGUUAAUCGGAAUUACUGGGCGUAAAGCGUGCGCAGGCGGUUUGUUAAGUCUGUUGUGAAAUCCCCGAGCUCAACUUGGGAAUUGCAAUGGAUACUGGCAGGCUGGAGUAUGGUAGAGGAAGGUGGAAUUCCCGGUGUAGCAGUGAAAUGCGUAGAGAUCGGGAGGAACACCGGUGGCGAAGGCGGCAUCCUGGACCAACACUGACACUGAGGAGCG
rnacentral:rRNA from 1 species